CGAUUAUCGUCUUUAACAUCUUUUACAAUUAAAACAAAAGGAAAUAAUUCAAUUUAAAUAUUUUAUAUAGUGUGUAUUGAGAUUUAAGAUGAGCAUCAAAUGUAUUCAAUGAGUUUUGGCUAAGAUGGAAAAUAUUUUCAAGAAGAAAUCAAACGAUAUAUUUUCAAAAAAAGUUAUCGACGUCUUUGAGAACAAAUCAGACAACGAUAUACUAGCACGUAGAAGUGGCGGCAUAGAUGUCUUUGAGACGAAAGAAGAUAUAUUUGAAAACCAAGGCUAUCAGGCCAACAUUUUCCCCGGAGAUAAAGACAGAAUAUCAUGAACCAACAGCAAAGAAUAAACAACUCUAGGUACUUGUACUUACACGAUUUGAUUGUUUAGUUGUGUUGUUGGGUUGCUAUCUUAUCCUAUCUAUAGCAGGAUCUACUUGUCCUUCCGAGGUAAAAAGUAAAAUCACAAAAAUACUGAACUCCGAGGAAAAUUCAAAACGGAAAGUCUCUAAUCAAAUGGCAAAAUCAAAAGUUCAAACACAUCAAACGAAUGGAUAACAACUGUCAUAUUUCUGACUUGGUACAGGCAUUUUCUUCUGUCGAAAAUGGUGGAUUUAACCCGGUUUUAAAGCUAGCUAAACCUCUCACUUGUAUGACAGUCGCAUCAAAUUCCAUUAUAUUGACAACGAUGUGUGAACAAAACAUACAGACACAAUAGGUUAAAAUGUCACAAAUAGGGAUACAACAGCAACACAAACCCUACCAAAAACUGGGGGUGAUCUCAGGUGCUCCUUUUAUUGAAAAAAAGAAGAUUCAUUAUAGGGUAAUAAGGGCGCCAUCAAAAAAAUAGGCAAGAAUGACAAUUUAAGACAUUGAAACAUUCAAAAUUCAAUUGAGUGUAUGAAAGUCUGAUUCCUUUUCAAUUUAUUCUAUAGAAAAUUUUAAAAGUGACUAUGAAUAUAUUGCAAGAAUAUUUAUUGAAAGAGUACAUUUUUAUUAUUUUGACAACAUAUUUGUGAAGAGAUAUUUUGUAUCGUUCUUGUAUGCGUCAGUGAGGCCAUAUAUAUAGUUGACAGUAAAAAAAACGCAUGGGAGUUAAAAACAAGAUGUGUUAAAAAAAAUGGCCAUUAUUAAAGAAAAAGUCCUGACUCGUAAUUUUUGCAUAUAGGAAACAAAUCAGGUAGUAUAAUAUAUUCUGUGGCUAAAUGAUGGGUUGUUUAUGGGUGCGAGUCAUUGUGACACUGACAAGGGGGUGGACAGAAUUAUGGGAACUAUGGAAUGAGAGGGCUGGAAAUGGGAAUUGGAUAGAUGAAAGCUGGAGUCAGGGUGGUGUUAACCGUGAGGAAAGGGUUGUUAAAACAGGGAUAAUUCAUGUUGAUGAUAAAAUAGGUGUGCAGAGGAACAGAAUACGGAGUGAAGUAGAAGUUUGGGGGAGGGAACUGGGAAUCAAUGCUCCCUGUCCACCCCCUUACUGAUAGCCAAAAAAGAAGAGGGGUUGGGAGUCAUGUAUUUAGAAGGAGCAAUUCUGCAGGGGAUGCGGACCACAGCUUGUUCUAGUUUGUGAACUGAUAAAUAAGAAGACGAUUGAUGCCUAAUGUAAUAGCGCUAUCUAAAUAAAAGAAAAAAAAACUAAAAAAAAAAAAAACAAUGAAAACAAUAUAUAAUUUAUUCAAUAAGUACAAUUUGUAUCAUGUAGACCAAAAGUAGAGAAAUGGAGCAUUGAAUGGCUGCAAUAAUUAUCCGUUUUAAGAACGCAUAUGGCAGAUGCACUAACCUCAUAGGGAGAUUUUGGAAGAGCACACGGCUUCUCAAGGUUGGACACAACGUCAGUCCACAGACAAUUCAUCGAUGAUGAUGGAAGUUUCAAACCACCUUAACUGGCUAUAUAGCCUUCGCCUAGUCAGGCCUGCAGAGCGCCUUUAAAUGUUUUUAAAGAAUUUAAUUAGAUAUGAUGAUGAUGAUGGGAGUUUUUAACGACCUUGACUGGCUAUACAGCCCUCGCACGGUCGGACCUGGCUUGUGCCUUUUUGGGCAUUUAAAUAAUUUGUUUUUACCAUAGGGUAAUUGAAUAAUUUGAGUGAUAAAUAUAGAAAAAUUUGAAGUUUAGAAUAAUUAAAAAAUAAAUAAUUUGAUGAGUAAAUGAAUGAAAUAGAACUUAAAUAAAAUAAAAGAACAUAAAAAUGAGAA